rnacentral:rRNA from 1 species
GAUUUCUGGCUUGAAACAUUUUGCCGGCCACGGUUUCGUAUGUUAGUGCCUGAUGUUCUGACCAUCCUUCCAAUCGCUACUGGCUUGUCUUCAUUGAUUGGUCAGUAGUAUUGGAUCUUUUACUUUGAAAAAAUUAGAGUGUUUCAAGCAGGCUUUAUGCUAUGAAUACAUUAGCAUGGAAUAAUAAUUUAGGACUUUGGUUCUAUUUUGUUGGUUUCUAGGGCUGAAGUAAUGAUUGAUAGGGAUAGUUGGGGGUGCUAGUAUUCAGCGGCCAGAGGUGAAAUUCUCGGAUUCGCUGAAGACUAACUUAUGCGAAAGCAUU